rnacentral:rRNA from 1 species
CUCUAAGGUGACUGCCGGCUAAAAGUCGGAGGAAGGUGGGGAUGACGUCAAAUCAUCAUGCCCCUUAUGCCCAGGGCUACACACGUGCUACAAUGGGCGGUACAAAGGGUAGCGAUCCCGCGAGGAGGAGCCAAUCCCAAAAAACCGUCCCAAGUUCGGAUUGGAGUCUGCAACUCGACUCCAUGAAGUUGGAAUCGCUAGUAAUCGCGGAUCAGCAUGCCGCGGUGAAUACGUUCCCGGGCCUU